AUUGAACGCUGGCGGCAUGCCUUACACAUGCAAGUCGAACGGUAACAGGUCUUCGGAUGCUGACGAGUGGCGAACGGGUGAGUGAUACAUCGGAACGUGCCUAGUAGUGGGGGAUAACUACUCGAAAGAGUGGCUAAUACCGCAUGAGAUCUACGGAUGAAAGCAGGGGAUCGCAAGACCUUGUGCUACUAGAGCGGCCGAUGGCAGAUUAGGUAGUUGGUGGGAUAAAAGCUUACCAAGCCGACGAUCUGUAGCUGGUCUGAGAGGACGAUCAGCCACACUGGGACUGAGACACGGCCCAGACUCCUACGGGAGGCAGCAGUGGGGAAUUUUGGACAAUGGGCGCAAGCCUGAUCCAGCAAUGCCGCGCGCAGGAUGAAGGCCUUCGGGUUGUAAACUGCUUUUGUACGGAACGAAAAGCCCUGGGUUAAUACCCUGGGGUCAUGACGGUACCGUAAGAAUAAGCACCGGCUAACUACGUGCCAGCAGCCGCAGUAA
rnacentral:rRNA from 1 species